rnacentral:rRNA from 1 species
GUGUCAGCCGCCGCGGUGAUACGUACUGUGCGAACGUUAUUCGGAAUCACUGGGCUUAAAGGGUGCGUAGGCGGCCGAUUAAGUAGGGUGUGAAAGGCCUCGGCUCAACCGGGGCAUUGCGCUCUAAACUGGUCGGCUUGAGUGAGUUAGGGGUGUGCGGAACUUCCAGUGGAGCGGUGAAAUGUGUUGAUAUUGGAAGGAACGCCGGUGGCGAAAGCGGCACACUGGGUCUUAACUGACGCUGAUGCACGAAAGCCAGGGUAGCGAACGGGAUUAGAUACCCCGGUAGUCCUGGCUGUAAACGAUGAGCACUAGACGGGAGAGGCUUUGCUUCUUCGGUCGUAGCGAAAGCGAUAAGUGCUCCGCCUGGGGAGUAUGGUCGCAAGGUUGAAACUCAAAUGAAUUGACGG